UAAGCACGACUCCCGGCAAUGGAUAUCUCGGCUCUCGCAUCGAUGAAGAACGUAGCGAAAUGCGAUACUUGG
rnacentral:rRNA from 1 species